rnacentral:rRNA from 1 species
GCAACCGAGGUGCCUGGGGCCGCGGGGGUGCGUUGGUGGGGAGGGGUGUCGGGAGUUAUGGGGCGUAAAGGGCGCGUAGGUGGUGUGUUGCGUCGGGAGUGAAAACACACAGCUUAACUGUGUGCUUGCUUUCGAUACGGGCAGACGUGAGGGAUGUAGGGGAGAACGGAAUUCCUGGUGGAGCGGUGGAAUGCGCAGAUAUCAGGAGGAACACCGGUGGCGAAGGCGGUUCUCUGGACAUUUCCUGACGCUGAGGAGCGAAAGCGUGGGGAGCAAACAGGAUUAGAUACCCCUGUAGUC